UAUUUGAAAAUUAGCCGCCGA
rnacentral:siRNA from 1 species